AUGUCCCAGAUUUUAAAUUUUGACUUAGGGUAUCCCCACCACAAUGGCACUGUUAUUAGGCAAUUGAUGAAAUUGCCCCGCUUAAGUACUUUAUCUUUCCCGGCUGUGUAUUAUUAACGUCCACAACCAUGAAACUCUUCUCACAAAUUGCACAAUCUUGGCAUAUGAACCAUAUAGUUGUGGUCAAUGGAACAGUCAACAAGUAGUAGAGCACAAUAAAAAAAGGGAAAGGUUUCUAUACUUCCCUUGCUGCAUAGAAGAUGUAUAUUUUACCCCUAGUGAGCCACUGUCUGCUUUAUCUAUAUCCGAUGUUUCAUAUUAUUUUAUUUUUAGUUUUUUUCUACAAAUGAUAUGAAUAUGAAAUUUGGUAUGUGCCAUCUUCUCAUUGGGGUGCACUUCAAAAAAAUAGUAAAAAAAUAUUUUCAGGAACAUACAAUUACCGAAAUACCUUUGAAAAUUUCAGGGUUGUUUUAGUCAUUUUAUUUUAUUAGAAAUAAUUUUUUAAUAUCUUUCAGGUGUGAGGUUAAGAGAGGAGAGGACAUCCAAAAUUUGGUGAUAAAAUAGUUUAUAGAAAAAACUUAAAAAAAAACAAGUGUAGAGAUGUGACAUUGUGAUUGGGAUCAUCUUAGCCGUCCAUUCAAAAUGGAUGGUUGGAUGUAUAGGAGUUUUAUACAGUAGGGGAAGCAUAAAAAGCUUGCCAUAAAAAAAAACCAAUUUUCUUGAUGGUUUCAUAGGAUCAACCUGAAACUCAAAACCAAUUCUAUCAACCUGAAACUCAAAACCAAUUCUUACUUUCAAAUCGUAAGCUUGUUUUUUGAAUAUAUCAGAGCGAAUAUAACACGUUUUUCCUAUGAAUUUUAAU
rnacentral:lncRNA from 1 species